AUUUAAAUGAUAAUGAUAAAUGAUAAAUGAUAUUUAUUUUGCAAAUAGGUUAUAAAAUAACACUUUUACACGUCAAUCUCUUAAAUAACUAGAUGAGGCCGGCAUUUCCUAUCGGACUACUCUGAGAAGAAAUGCCGAAACAAACUCAGAGGUCAUAGUCUCUUUUAAAGUCCAGACAAAAUCAAUUAA